CCGUGAUCUCAUCCGGGACUCUGAACAACAUUCGGUAACCAACCAUAUAACUCAAAUACGCAUAAAAUAACGUCGAACCUUAAGUGUGUAGACCCUGCGGGUUCGAGAACUAUGUAGACAUGACCCGAGUGACUCCUCGGUCAAUAUCCAAUAGCGGGUCCUGGAUGCCCAUAUUGGAUCCUACAUAUUCUACGAAGAUCUUAUCGUUUGA
rnacentral:lncRNA from 1 species